rnacentral:ncRNA from 1 species
UAUUAAUUUAGUCAUGGUUAACAAUUAAACUUUAAUUUAAAUAUACAUGCAACACUAUGAAACCCACUUCUAUAAAAUUUAUUAAACAAUAAUUAAGUGCCCGCAGUAAUUAGCCCUGUCCCAUUAGUAAAAGCUAAAACCGGUAAAUAUUAAUUAGUAUCAAUAAAAUUAGUGCCAGCAAUUGCGGUUAGACUAUAGAUACAAGUUUACUCCAACAGAAAAUAGCUAAUAGUAAAAGAAUAUAAAUAUAGCCACCAAUCGUAAAACCUGAUAGCACUAAAUACCAAAAUAUUCUAACAUCAAGCUAAAAACCCAUAAACUUAAACGAGGAUUAGAUACCCUUUUAUAUUAUGGCAACACCUAAAAAUUCGGGUAGUAAUAAUUAAUUUCCGAAACCCAAAUGUCAUGGCGGCUUCUCAACCGAAUCCGGGGGACCUGCCCGAUAAUCGAUGAUCCGCGCUAAAAUUCACUUAAUUUUGAUACUCAGUUUGUGUAUGGCCGCCGCAAGCCCAUCUUAAAAGAGAUGAGCAAUAUUGAACAAUUUCCAUAACUUCAUUAUGACAAGUCAUUAUACAACCGAUAAUUAAGACACGGUGGGUCACAAAUUAUAUAAAUAAUUCAAUUAAAGAACAAUAAAACUUUAUGAAAAAGGACUGGAUAGUAAUUCAAGUUUAAAACACCUAAAUGAAUAAAGCUACGUGAGAAGUGCACAAAUCGCCCGGCCCUCUACCCGAAAGGGGAGAUAAGCCGUAACAAAGUAGAUGUAAUGGAAAUUGCAUCUCAUAUACC